AGCAUGCCCCUUUGAUCCACCUAACGGGACUUCUGUCCACCAACUUUACCGGUUGGCCGUCGUAGGUGAAUGAGUCAUUGGCAUGCAAGACAAAUGUACCUCCUCCUGCCAGCUAGCCUUACCAACUACACCUGACCAGCUUGUCCUGGUUGGGAGAGAUUUAACUGCUCUCUCUCCUGCAAGUGAUCUCGUUGUUCUUAUGUUGGUAAAAAUGCUGGUGUUGGGGACAAA